GUACUGAUGAAGAGUUCUAGACUAGGAUGAAACAGCUUUCCAGUAC
rfam:Trichobilharzia regenti genome assembly, scaffold: TRE_scaffold0015002